GGGAGCUGCGCGGCUGCGCACUGAGCGCUCGGGCGGCGGAGCGGGGCCGCGGGCCGGGGGCGGAGGGCGGCCGCCAUGGAGCAGGGCUACGGCGGUUAUGGCACCUGGAGUACGGGGGCCAGCAACACCCAAGGUACAUAUGCGACGAACGCCCCAAGUUGGCAAGGCUACGAAGGCUAUGACUACUACAACACCCAAACCACCGCCGCCAACACGGCGGCCACGUACAACUACGCCGCUGCCGCCACCUCCAGCACCUGGGAAACUCCCAAAACCUCGGAGAUGAGCAUGAACGCCGACGUCGGCUCCGCCAUGCCUGUCGCCUCGUACGGCAGCGAGACCGUGGCGAACGAGAACUCGGAUUCCAUCAUAGCCAAAAUAAACCAGCGCUUGGAUAUGCUGUCGAAGGAGGGCAGUGGCGGCACGGGGGAAGGAAUGGAAGACCAGGAGAGCUCCUUCAGGUUCGAGUCUUUCGAAUCGUACGACUCAAGGUCCUCGAUGAACGACCGCGACAUGUACCGGUCCGGCUACGACUACGGCGAGGUCGGCGCCGAUCGCGGCGAUUCCUUCGGGAGCCAGUUCGAUGGCCGCAGGGAUCAGUCUCGCAACCGGGCCAACAACUACGGCCUCAUCCGAGGACGGGGCCAAAACCGCGUGCAGAACCGGGGGCGCCUGAACACUUUCAACCGCUCCGACCACUUCAUGCCCUCCUCGAGCUCGGAGCGCCUCUCCGCUCGCUGGAAUGAGUUGAACUACAUGGGUGGGCGUGGGAUGGGGGGCGCCGGCCCCAACAGGCUCCCCUCUCUCUUCUCCCAAGCCCUGGUCCCUGACUAUGGGGACUAUGGGGACUAUGGAGAUUAUGGAGAUUACGGUGACUACGGGGAUUAUGGGGAUUACGGUGACUACGGAGACUACGGGGACUAUGGAGACUAUGACUAUGGCAUGAUGGGGAUGUCGGGCAUGGGAACGGGACGGUACAGUAACGUGCCAUACGGAAUGGGGCGGCAGCGAAACAGAGACAGGAUGGGUGCGGUGCCCUGGCACACGAACACGCUCACGCCCAAGAGGAGAGGUUUCCGAAACCGUUCAGGAGGGCGAUCGGACAGCGAAGGAGGACGCAAGCGGAAGCAGUCCCAAAGUGGAGACGAGCCGGACAGCAAACAGGCAAAGACUGACAGCGAGGGCGACGACACCGAGAACGAUGAGGGCGAAGGAGAGGAAAAAUCAGGAGAUGAAGCUGACAAAGCAUCUGGAGACGGCUGCGAAGACGAUGACGAAGAGGUAAAAAAGAAGAGGGAGAAGCAGCGGCGAAGAGAUAGGAUGCGCGACCGUGCCAUGGACAGGAUCCAGUUUGCCUGUUCUGUGUGCAAGUUCCGCAGUUUUGAGGAAGAGGAGAUCCAAAAACACCUACAGAGCAAGUUCCACAAAGAGACCUUGCGGUACAUCGGCACCAAACUCCCAGACAAAACAGUCGAGUUCCUGCAGGAAUACAUCGUCAAUAGGAAUAAGAAAAUUGAGAAGCGUCGCCAGGAGCUGACUGAGAAAGAGGGCACAAAGCAGAAGCCGGAUCCUUUUAAGGGUAUUGGCCAGGAACACUUCUUCAAGAAGAUCGAGGCGGCUCACUGCAUGGCCUGCGACAUGUUAAUUCCUGCGCAGAACCACCUCCUCCAGAGGCACCUGCGAUCCGCAGAUCACAACCGAAACCGCAGGAUGGCUGCGGAACAGUUCAAGAAGACCAGCUUGCACGUCGCCAAGAGCGUCCUGAAUAACAAACACAUCGUCAAGAUGCUGGAGAAGUACCUCAAGGGUCCGCAGGCACGUCAACAACUCCUCAUGAUCAACGGUAUCAAAGGCUGCCGGCAGAUCUAAAUGAAUCAGCACGGGCGCCUGACCUUUGUCCAUCGGCAGGAGGAGAUCUUCGACCCAUCCCAGCACGGUCUCCGUACCAUUCCCAGGUGCAAAACCAGACUGAAAGGGGUGGAGGAAAUCUGAGGAUUCCAGGUAAUGCCCGAGCUGCCUCGCCAAAACAUUCUCGGCAACCUUCCCCGAGAAAGGAAGGCCGGAGACAGGGCGAUAAUUGACAAGACUGUCAGCAUCAAGAGCUGGUUUCUUGAACGCGGGCCUAACGAUUCCUCCUCUGAGGGAUGCUGGGCGCCUCGCCCUUCCAAAGGGAGGCCGUGACAGUCUCCACCACUAGUGGACUUCAUAUUCCCCCGUAGCUUUUACCGGCGAUAACGGACACGGGUCCAGAUCGCAAGGUAUAGCCUGAAGUUUUCCCCCCACGUCCUCCAGAACCUUGGUAGGUGAGACCAGCUGGCUGAACCUCAGCCAGGGAAGAUUUACCGUUGCGUUUGUCCUCCACCUGCAUGGAUCUGCUCGUGUGGAGGCAGCCAAUCUGGUCUGAACCUCUGAUCGAUCCGGUCCGUGAGGCAGAGAACCCGAGAGGCGCUGGAACUUAGCGAGCGGGGCCGGGCCUGGCUUUACCAGGCCGGCCUCUACCGGCGUGCCUCCGCUUUUCGGGACGUCGCAGGCGCUGUGCUGGAGCCGGAGAGGUCGCUCUCCCGGCCUCCACCACAGCCACGACAGGGGGGAGUUGAGAAAACUCUUCGUCCCGGUCGAUCAGAUUUCAGGCGAGGUUUCUGCCGCUGGCAUGCUGCCCACCUCCCUUCACAUUUCGUCUGUUGCAGGCCAGCCCUCCGCAUACCUUGGUGACCUGUGAGGAAGGGAGAGGGAGUUUAGAAGCACGGUUUGGCCCGGUUUGUGGCACAGUGUGGCGCCUACUCUCCGGCAGGGCCAGCGCUAGGGCACAGCACCCACUGACCGUACAGUGCUCACCCACACCUAACCCCGAAACACAAGCAGAGAGCCAAACAAAACGGUCCCUGCCCCGAUGGGAGCAGUGCUAGGAUCUGAUGUCGGCCUGAAUAAAGGUAACGAGGUCAAAAAAAAUAAAUAAACCCAACCCCGAGGCGCUCGGGCUCCUCGUAGCGGGGGAGAGAGUGAGAGCUGUGCUCGGGGGACUGCCAGGGCUGCGUGCACGCAAGGUUAACGUUAGCGCCAUGGCUCCGGGCAGCUGGACUCCUUGAUCUCCAGCGAAGGGCGAGAGGAAGGCCACCAGUUGCUGAUCUUCCCACUCCUCUCCCACCGCGUGGGAGUCCCGUGCCGUCCCACCCAGCUGGGACCAGACAGAGGUUGAGGAAUUGCUUUUUUUUUUUUUUUUUUAAAUCGUCUCGUUGAGCCGAGUUCCUCCCAGCCGAGAGCGGAGCCGAUGCCCUGGCUCGCUCUCUCGGGUGCUGCAGCACACACGGUUCUUAGCAUAGGACCCAGCCCCGGCGCCCGCACGCUCAGCAGCGUGCCAUGCAGGAGGGAAGACUUGCGCGUUCCUCCCGCUCCUCCAAGAUGCGGGAUCCGAGCACCCUCCCGGGGCGCUUCUCUUGCUGAAAGUUUAGUGGCUUUGGGGCUUGACGCGAUGGAUUUCCACGAUUGAGAAGCUGCCGUUUUCCGAUCGGUUGCGAACCUCUGCGUUUCACGGCUGAGGUUGCCUCCGCCUCACUGCAGCCCGGUGACUCUUCUCUCUUCCCCUCUCUCUUCCCCAGGGCGAAGAUCCCUUCACAGACGAAAUCGCCGACCAGGAUGUGGAUGAAGGAGAAGCCUUGGAAGGCGGAGAUGGCGGUGGGGAAGGAGCAAACGAAAACACUGCUGCGGAGGCUGCCCAGGCCCAGGAGGGAGGAGCUGGGAACACGGGUGAAGCUACGGAUGCGGCUCCGGCAGCAGAAGAGAUGGAAGGGCCUUCUGAAGAGCUGUCAAAAUCAGAGGAAUUCCUGAAACACGCGGGGGAGCAGGAUCAGCACCCCAAACAGCUGCUGAUGCCCCCGUUUCUGCAAGACGAUGACCAGCUCGAAGCGGAGGAAGCAGCGGAGGACAUGAGUGAGGCUGCGGCGCCUUCGGACGCGGUGGCGCCUUCAGAAGCAGCGGCCGAGGCAGACUCGGAGGAGCCGCCUUCGGUUCCAGAAACUUCCCAGGAGCCAGCAGCAGAAAAUAAAACUGAGGGCUGGGCAGCUAAAGAGGAGGAGAAGGGAGAGGAAAGCGUGAGUGAGGCGGCUCCGGCUGCAUGCAGCGAGCAGGAGGAAGAAGAGGAAGGGGGGGAGGAAGAGGCUCCGCCGGCAGCCACCGAGCCGCAGCAAGAGUAACUGUGAAUGUUUGUGUGAAGGUCGAAGACUGCAGGAAGCUGUACAUUCCCUGAGAGGCAGCACCACCUUUUUUUCUUUUUUUUUUUUUUUUUUUGGAAUUUUAGAAUUGAAAAAGCUGGGUUUGCAGAAUAAAACUGUGAUUAAAUCCUGACAGCUGUCUUGUUUUUUUUUUAAGCGCAGCAGU